rnacentral:rRNA from 1 species
CCUACGGGUGGCAGCAGUCGGGAAUAUUGCGCAAUGGAGGAAACUCUGACGCAGUGACGCCGCGUAUAGGAAGAAGGUUUUCGGAUUGUAAACUAUUGUCGUUAGGGAAGAUAAAAGACUGUACCUAAGGAGGAAGCCCCGGCUAACUAUGUGCCAGCAGCCGCGGUAAUACAUAGGGGGCAAGCGUUAUCCGGAAUUAUUGGGUGUAAAGGGUGCGUAGACGGAAGAACAAGUUGGUUGUGAAAUCCCUCGGCUCAACUGAGGAACUGCAACCAAAACUAUUCUCCUUGAGUGUCGGAGAGGAAAGUGGAAUUCCUAGUGUAGCGGUGAAAUGCUUAGAGAUCAUACAGAACACCGAUUGCGAAGGCAGCUUACCAAUCUAUAUCUGACGUUGAGGCACGAAAGCGUGGGGAGCAAACAGGAUUAGAUACCCGUGUAGUC